GUGAUGUACAGCAUCAUAAAGGGGUAAGGACUUUUAGUGCCAUGGAGAGCUAGAAACCUACAGUAGCCUCAUACUAAGAGUAGUCACCUCUGGAGAGCCAUCAAAUGAAAAUGCACUGUGAUUUGUUCUGAAGUCUUCUAAGACAACAUUCCUCAGGACUGAGGAAUCGGAUGAACUAGGGGCUUGCAGACAGCAAGGAUGUUACUUUACUCCUGGGUUAAUUUAGGUUUUUCAUCCGUGUUGGAGCCUCUUUUGCUGCUCAUCCACAUAUAAAAACCUUUCAUCCACAUUUAACAUGAUUUUCAAUGGGCAUUAUCUGGCAUGGCUGGACAUAUGGGUAAUAUCCAGAAUCUGCUUUCACUCGGGCUGCUCCACUUAGAAAUGAAGUUAAAUCACUGAAGAGUUCAUAGUUAUAUAGUGCCUUCCACAAUACUGCAGAUAUGUCCAGAAAAUCAGAACAUUUUUCCCACAAGCUACUAAGAAUCAAGGGAUGAUUCACCAGUCUGCAGCACAAAGUACAUACAAUAUACACCUAAAAGUCUAGUGUCACAAAGGUGUACCAUCAGGGAUUGUUCACAUACAGGCUACGCUCAAAGCCGGGUGUCAGGUAAGGUCUCUCUGAUGUCAACUGAAUGCUUACCUUAAAUAAGUGCAGGAGCAAAAACAAGCCAUUAGCACCUUAACUGUCAGACAGUUCAAGGUAACAAGGUAGCAUCUUGGCAUGGAGGGGGUGCUCAAAAGUAAAUUUUAUAUAUAAUAUAUAAUCAUAAUUGCCACUCACCAUAGAAGUCGAUGACUGUAUGGAGCAGAACUAGAACUACCUUGGGUGAAAUCUGGAUCCCACAGUAGUAGUUACUGGAAAUUUGGACUUCUGCCAUAUGUACACCAGAUAAAUAUGAUUUGUUUAUGUGACUCUAAAUUAAAUCUGGAUGGCAAUUUUUAUUUUAAGAUUCUUCUAAGGAAAACCCAAAUUUCAGGUUUUGCCUUUCUGAAUAACUGCUUCUACUGGCCAAAAAGAGGUCCAAAAUCCUCUGGAAGGAUUAUUAAAUUAUGAAAAAAAUGGUGCUAGAAGUAAUUAAUCCUUUGUACAAAUGACAAAUACUUACCUAACAUUUGUAUAAUAUCUGGAACAUGAAAUGCUUAGACUAUUUAAACUUAGAUUUAUAAGUUACCUCAUCACAAAUAAGAACAAACCAACCCCCAAACAUGGCAGUUUUUCAAUUGCGUAGCAUGAAUUCCAUUUAUCCACAACUUCCAGGACAUUACUAAUAAAAGUAAUUAGAUUUUAGGUUUCUCAAUUUUUUUUCAGCUUGAGACAACCUUAAAGGGCUCUGUUCAUGAAAAUCAGAACCUUUGAAUAUAUAUCAAGUUGAACAC